AUGCUUCGGUUCAGUCUCUCUACGGGAUUCGCUUGGCUGUGGUGACGUGCAUUGGUCCAAUGUUUCACAUGAAAUCUCUCAAGGAAGGUUUGGAAUUCUUUGCUAACAAAGCUUGAUGCAUUAUCAGAAAUCAAAAUUUCUGGCACCGAAAAUUUACGGAACCACUGCUCUUCGAGAAGCUUAGUGGUCAAACUGGCUGAAAUUUUUCGAACAGGAAUAAGGACUGUCCACUUCGAGAAGAGAUCAAGCAUCACCAAAAGAUGAGCGUUUCCCGAUUUGCUACGGGGCAAGGAUUGAUGUUGUGAUGUAUUGGACGGCUUACUCACCUUACAGGUGACACAAUUACGGACAUAUUUCUGGACUGUAGAAGACAUUUUGGGCCAAAAAUACAGUUUUUUAAUUUUU